UGGCGCCCAACGUGGGGCUCAAGACUGGGGGACUUAGUGAGGAUGCUGUUCUUGGGCCCAAGGUAGAAAAGGAAAAGAAAAUAGAGGACCGAGGUGGGAGCCUGCCACGCUGCUGAACCUCCGUAAGUUAACAGCGAUUAUGGGACAAGCAAUUAGCUAGCAUGAGACUUCUGUUGAAAGUUUAGAAAAGCUUUAAAGACGCAAAGGGUAAAGGGAAAAAAAAAUUUAGCAAUUGUGUCCAUUAGGACAAGAAAUGAGCCAAGGUGAGGUUUUUGUUAAAAGUUUAAGGCUUU
rfam:Cavia porcellus supercont2_3 genomic scaffold, whole genome shotgun sequence.